rnacentral:rRNA from 1 species
AUUGAACGCUGGCGGCAGGCCUAACACAUGCAAGUCGAGCGGAGCGGCGUACGGGUGAGUAAUGCCUAGGAAUCUGCCUGGUAGUGGGGGAUAACGUCCGGAAACGGGCGCUUAUACCGCAUCCUAUCAGAUGAGCCUAGGUCGGAUUAGCUAGUGGGUGGGGUAAGGGCCUACCAAGGCGACGAUCCGUAACUGGUCUGAGAGGAUGAUCAGUCACACUGGAACUGAGACACGGUCCAGACUCCUACGGGAGGCAGCAGUGGGGAAGAUUGCACAAUGGGCGCAAGCCUGAUGCAGCCAUGCCGCGUGUAUGAAGAAGGCCUUCGGGUUGUAAAGUACUUUCAGCGGGGAGGCGUUACCCGCAGAAGAAGCACCGGCUAACUCCGUGCCAGCAGCCGCGGUAAUUC